rnacentral:rRNA from 1 species
UACGGAGGGGGCUAGCGUUGUUCGGAAUUACUGGGCGUAAAGCGCGCGUAGGCGGCUUUGUAAGUUAGAGGUGAAAGCCCGGAGCUCAACUCCGGAACUGCCUUUAAGACUGCAUCGCUAGAAUUGUGGAGAGGUGAGUGGAAUUCCGAGUGUAGAGGUGAAAUUCGUAGAUAUUCGGAAGAACACCAGUGGCGAAGGCGACUCACUGGACACAUAUUGACGCUGAGGUGCGAAAGCGUGGGGAGCGAACCGG